ensembl:ncRNA lncRNA:CR45120 long non-coding RNA:CR45120
AGCGCUUUAAGCCAAUGGGGUGUGGUGCUGGCCCUGCUAACUUGGCCCAUUCAAAGUCAACUUAUGCCAACCAUCUGUCAGCAACAGGAGCUAGAGUUCUCCACACUCAUGCGGCUACUUAUGCAAAAUCCUUGACUCCGCCACUAGACGACACCCGUUGCUGCUCAUCUACACAAGCACAUGGGAGCUCUGAUUACCGGCGCUCGGGGAGCGGGACAAAGGACAAUGGAGCAGCGGGACAGAGGGACAGCCGGUGCAGCGGAGUGAGACGGCGGAGACACACAAUUGUGUUGAUUGCACAGAUGACAAGACCUAGGACGAGAUGACAACUUUGCUGCCUGCCAGCCUUGAUGACAAUGAAGUGCAUGCAUGAAUAUUCUAAUCAAAUGAGCCGCCAGCCUGUUCUGGCUCCUGGUCCCACUUCCCAGCUCCCUGGCUUCUCAUGGCUUCUGCCUCUGUUCCAGCCAUUGUCGAGCUGUAAAAUUUUUCGCCUCCACCACAUGGUUACACAUGAAGAAAUUGCCUAAAUGCUAGGAUACAAAACAUAAUUGAUCCGGAACUAAAACACAAUGGUCACUUGAAUCUUAAAUUUGGCUCUAUAUGGAUACGCUAUAGUCGUAAAAUAUUGUUUUUAUACAAUAGAAAGCUGAUAAG